rnacentral:tRNA from 1 species
GCCUGGGUGGCUCAGUGGUUGAGCGUCUGCCUUUGGCUCAGGGCAUGAUCCUGGAGUCCUGGGAUCAAGUCCCACAUCAGGCU